AUGAGUAUUCUUAGUUGGAACUGCCGGGGCCUGGGGCAGCCCCGGACAGUUCAAGAGUUGGUGUGCCUUGUGCAUACCUACCGCCCCAAGAUCGUCUUCUUGCCUGAAACAAGGCAAUGCGAAGAGAAAGUGAGAAGAAUAAGAUGGAGAAUAGGCCUGAGGCACUACUUUACUCACGAUGGUAAGGGCAAAGGUGGAGGCAUUGCUUUGUACUGGAUGAUCAAAUAA
rnacentral:rRNA from 1 species